AUUGAACGCUAGCGGCAUGCUUAACACAUGCAAGUCGAACGAGUGGCGGACGGGUGAAUAAUAUAUUGGAACGUGCCCAGUAGAGGGGGAUGACUACUCGAACGAGUGGCUAAACCCGCUAACUAUUGGAGCGGCCGAUGUCGGAUUAGCUAGUUGGUGGGGUAUAGGCUCACCAAGGCAACGAUCCGUAGCUGGUUUGAGAGGACGAGCAGCCACACUGGGACUGAGACACGGCCCAGACUCCUACGGGAGGCAGCAGUGGGGAAUUUUGGACAAUGGGCGAAACCCUGAUCCAGCCAUGCCGCGUGUAUGAGAAGGCUUUCGGGUUGUAAAGUACUUUUGUCAGAGAAGCGGUAUCUGCAGAAUAAGCACCGGCUAACUACGUGCCAGCCGCCGCGGUAAUAC
rnacentral:rRNA from 1 species